UACGGGGGGGGCAAGCGUUGUUCGGAAUUACUGGGCGUAAAGGGCUCGUAGGCGGCCAACUAAGUCGGAUGUGAAAUCCCCAGGCUUAACCUGGGAACUGCAUCCGAUACUGGAUGGCUUGAAUCCGGGAGAGGGAAGCGGAAUUCCCGGUGUAGUGGUGAAAUGCGUAGAUAUCGGGAGGAACACCAGUGGCGAAGGCGGCUUCCUGGCCUGUUCUUGACGCUGAGGCGCGAAAGCUAGGGGAGCAAACGGG
rnacentral:rRNA from 1 species